CCUACGGGAGGCUGCAGUGGGGAAUAUUGCACAAUGGGCGCAGGCCUGAUGCAGCCAUGCCGCGUGUGUGAAGAAGGCCUUCGGGUUGUAAAGCACUUUCAGCGGGGAGGAAGGCGUUAAGGUUAAUAACCUUGGCGAUUGACGUUACCCGCAGAAGAAGCACCGGCUAACUCCGUGCCAGCAGCCGCGGUAAUACGGAGGGUGCAAGCGUUAAUCGGAAUUACUGGGCGUAAAGCGCACGCAGGCGGUCUGUCAAGUCGGAUGUGAAAUCCCCGGGCUCAACCUGGGAACUGCAUUCGAAACUGGCAGGCUAGAGUCUUGUAGAGGGGGGUAGAAUUCCAGGUGUAGCGGUGAAAUGCGUAGAGAUCUGGAGGAAUACCGGUGGCGAAGGCGGCCCCCUGGACAAAGACUGACGCUCAGGUGCGAAAGCGUGGGGAGCAAACAGGAUUAGAUACCCGUGUAGUC
rnacentral:rRNA from 1 species